rnacentral:rRNA from 1 species
UACGGAGGGUGCAAGCGUUAAUCGGAAUUACUGGGCGUAAAGGGUGCGUAGGUGGUUGUAUAAGUUAUCUGUAAAAUCCCUGGGCUUAACCUGGGCAGGUCAGAUAAGACUGUACGACUCGAGUAUGGGAGAGGGUAGUGGAAUUUCCGGUGUAGCGGUGAAAUGCGUAGAGAUCGGAAGGAACACCAGUGGCGAAGGCGGCUUCCUGGCCUGUUCUUGACGCUGAGGCGCGAAAGCUAGGGGAGCGAAUGGG